GUGCUCGCAUUGGCAGCACAUAUACCAAAGUUGGAACAGUACAGAGAACAUUAGCAUGGCCGAUAUGCGAGAAUGACUGAUAUGCAAAUUCACGGAGCUUUCCAUACUUUU